CUGCGAGACUUUCUAGCAGCUCAGCGGAAAGGCAGCUACCAGCCAAGCUCGGAGAGAUUUGAUGCUUGACGCCGAGAGUCACAAUUUAAUUCGGAGCGGAAGCCGCGUUCCCGGAUUCCUUCAGCCCUCAGAAGACAGAGGUCGGCUUCCCUCUGCGAGGAAAGGGCCUAAUUCGUUUUUUCUGACAUUGCUGGGGGGCGGGGGGUGCCCGAGUGGAGAGAAAACGGACCCGGUCCGUGCAGAAGCGCAGAGACACCGAAUCUUCAUUGAGAGGAUGCUUAAAACCCUGGUCUCCACGCUCGUGCUGCUCCUUGUUUCGAGCGGAGCGGUGGACGGGAAGGUUUCUCAGCCGGCUGCGCUGUCUUUCCUGGCGGGGGGCAGGGCUGACCUCCCCUGUAACCACAGUGUCGCUGGCUACGAGAGAAUUUUUUGGUACUAUCAGCGCCCCGGAGCUGCCCCUCGAGCUGUGAUCUCUGGCUACAACUCCGCGGAGACGUCGGAGCGGCUUGAACUGUCCAUUGACCCCUCCAGCCGGUCCGCCCCGCUGCGCAUCACCAAGGUGGCGGUGGAGGACUCGGGGGUGUAUUACUGCGCCGUGAGAGGCACAGCGAGAGGAAAUGCAGGGAGAGCUGAACAAAAACCUCCCCGAGGACUCCUCUGAGAGUCCUGGGCAGGAAGAGAAGGAAGCUCACACAGAUAAUCAAAUUGCGGGCUGGGAUCUUCAAAGGGGCCAGGAGAAUGGACGCAUGGAACUCCAGUGAGCAAUAAGCGCCCAACUCCCUUAGGCUCCUUUUGAAAUCUCAGCUUUGAACAGUAGCAUGUAGAAAUUCGUGACUGUAUCCAAAGCGACCGAGAUAAUUACAAGCCUAAUUUCUAUGGUCUUCCAAUAAAAAGAGUCUCCAAAGGGUCAAAUUUACAAAGGUAUUUAGGGACCUAAAGAUCUAGAGAGGCACCUGGAGAGGCUUUAGGCUCCCAAAUGCUGUUUUGACCAGAGCAUCUAGUCAAAGUCUGUGGCCCUGUGGGCCCACCUG